ACAGAAGUAACCAAAAGCUGAACUCCAAGCAAAUGUUCCCGGUGAGUGCAAGAAUCAGCAGGACACACGUUUCACAAAACAAAUGCUCAAUGGCGAGCGAAUAUCUCACCCGAAGUAAAAACCAACAAAACGGUAACAAGAAACAACAAUGCAAGCAAAGCUCAUGAUCCAAGGAAAGCCUAGACACAACUUCCUAACAAGGUCUGGGAGACCGAGC
rnacentral:lncRNA from 1 species